AUUUCAGCUCCUGUCUGGGCUUCACAAUAGUCGAAUACCUUAAAUUUCAAAAUUUGGAUAUUCGUUGUUGAUGAAGCCUUGAUGGGGGUGAGAAAGA
ensembl:miRNA mir-76 ncRNA